CCAAUCUUCUCCUUCGUCUCCGCUUCACAACAACAUAUCAUCUAAAAAGAUUUAGAGUUUAGACAGAGAAACUCUCUCUCUCUCUCUCUCUCUAGCCAUUUUCUCUUUCUGAAACUGUCGUUGCCACCGGAGAGAGAAGUCACACGAAACUCACUGAUUUCAUAUAAAGGAAAGAUAUAUAGUGCUCACGCACUUAAAACACGUAAUUUUCCUGGAAAAUAAACAGCCAGAGAGAAAGAAAAAAAAGAAAGUCGUAGGAAAUUGAGGAAGAAAAAAGGUCAUGGCGAUACCGUUGGACAGAGGAGGAGUGGCGGUGCUCUCGAAUUCCGUCAACAAGGUCGAUUCAUCCUCGGCUCUCAAUGGCGGCUUGAAGUGCUCCAAACUGGAGUCGCCAAUUUUGAUUUUCUUGUUCUUUCACAAGGCGAUUCGGAAUGAGCUUGACGCGCUGCACCGAUUGGCCAUGGCAUUUGCCACCGGCAAUCGCUCUGAUAUUCAGCCGCUCUCCGAGCGCUACCAUUUCCUCAGCUCGAUUUAUAGGCACCACUCCAUUGCGGAAGAUGAGGUGAUUUUUCCAGCUCUAGAUAUACGUGUGAAGAAUGUAGCACAGACAUAUUCUCUUGAGCACAAGGGUGAAAGCCAUCUUUUUGAUCAUCUAUUUGAGCUGUUAAAUUCUUCCCUCCAUAAUGAUGAAAGUUUUCCAAGAGAAUUAGCAUCAUGCACGGGAGCUUUGCAUACAUCAGUUAGUCAACACAUGGCAAAGGAAGAGGAGCAGGUAUUUCCUCUGCUUAUUGAAAAGUUCUCUCUCGAGGAACAGGCAUCCUUAGUUUGGCAGUUUCUUUGCAGUAUUCCUGUGAAUAUGAUGGCAGAAUUUCUUCCAUGGCUUAAAACAUCUAUAUCACCUGAUGAAUCUCAGGAUCUUCGAAAUUGCUUAAUCAAGAUAGUGCCAGAGGAAAAGCUUCUUCAGAAGGUUAUCUUCACCUGGAUGGAAGGGAGAAGUAGUGUUAACACAGUUGAAAGUUGUGCAGAUCAUUCUCAAGUUCAAUGUAGUUCUAGCCCAUUAACCCAUCAGGUUAGGAAAGUAAACUGUGUAUGCGAGUCGACAACAACUGGAAAAAGGAAAUAUUCUGGAUCCAUUGAAGAUGUUUCUGAUGUCACUGGAACACAUCCUAUUGAUGAAAUUUUGCUCUGGCAUAAUGCAAUAAAAAAAGAGUUAAGUGAGAUAGCAGUGGAGACCAGACAGAUACAACACUCUGGAAAUUUUACUAAUCUAUUGGCUUUUAAUGAAAGAUUGCAAUUCAUUGCUGAAGUUUGCAUAUUUCACAGUAUUGCUGAGGACAAGGUUAUUUUUCCAGCGGUAGAUGGAGAACUUUCUUUCUUUCAGGAACAUACUGAAGAAGAAAGCCAAUUUAAUGACUUCCGGUGUUUAAUUGAAGGUAUUCAAAAUGAAGGAGCAUCGUCUAAUUCAGAAGUUGAAUUUUAUUCCAAGUUAUGCUCUCAUGCUGAUCAUAUAAUGGAAACCAUACAGAGACAUUUCCAUAAUGAAGAGGUUCAGGUUCUUCCACUUGCAAGAAAGCACUUUAGCUUUAAAAGGCAACGCGAACUUCUGUAUCAAAGCUUAUGCAUGAUGCCUCUGAAAUUGAUUGAGCGCGUCCUGCCAUGGUUAGUAGGAUCUUUAACUGAAGAUGAAGCAAAGAUGUUUCUUAGAAACAUGCAGAUGGCAGCUCCAGCAACAGAUUCUGCUCUAGUUACACUCUUCUGUGGUUGGGCUUGCAAGGCUCGUAAUGAAGGUCUGUGUUUGUCUUCAGGUGCAUCAGGUUGCUGUCCUGCUCAAAGACUUUCCGAUAUCGAAGAAAAUAUUGUUCGGCCAUCCUGUGCUUGUGCCUCUGCAGUGUCUGGUAGACAUUGCUCAGUAUUAGCUGAAUCAGAUCGGAACAAUAGAUCAGUCAAGCGUAACACAUUGGAGUCGGACAAGAAUGGAGAUGUAACUGUAACUUCAGAGGCUGAAAGUAUCCCGAAACAAUUUUGUAGUGCUCGACCUUGUUGCGUGCCAGGUUUAGGAGUAAGCAGUAACAAUUUGGGGCUGAGUUCUCUUUCUACAGCAAAGUCCUUACGCUCCUUGUCUUUCAGUUCUUCUGCUCCAUCUCUUAAUUCUAGUCUUUUCACAUGGGAAACAGAUAGCAGCUCUUGUGAUGUUGGCUCUGUACAAAGACCAAUUGAUACCAUAUUUAAAUUCCAUAAAGCUAUUCGUAAAGACCUGGAGUAUUUAGAUGUUGAAUCUGGAAAACUGAGUGAUGGUGAUGAGACAAUACUUCGGCAAUUUAGUGGAAGGUUUCGUCUUUUGUGGGGUUUAUACAGAGCUCAUAGUAAUGCCGAAGAUGAUAUAGUGUUUCCAGCAUUGGAAUCCAAAGAGGCACUUCAUAACGUGAGUCAUUCAUACAUGCUGGACCAUAAGCAGGAGGAACAAUUGUUUGAAGAUAUUUCCUGCGUUCUUUCUGAGCUUUCUGUCCUUCAUGAAACCUUGCGGAUGACCCAUAUGUCAGAGGAUUUAUGUGAAAGUAAUUUUGGAACUUCGGAUGCCACUGAGAGUGGUGAUAUCAAAAAGUAUAAUGAACUUGCUACUAAACUUCAGGGGAUGUGCAAAUCCAUAAGAGUGACUCUGGAUCAGCAUCUUUUCAGGGAAGAGUGUGAACUCUGGCCAUUGUUUGGGAAACAUUUCACUGUGGAAGAACAAGACAAGAUAGUUGGCCGGAUAAUUGGAACUACAGGUGCUGAAGUUCUCCAAUCAAUGUUACCAUGGGUAACUUCUGCACUUACUCAGGAUGAACAGAACAAAAUGAUGGACACAUGGAAGCAGGCAACUAAGAACACUAUGUUCAAUGAAUGGCUUAAUGAAUGCUGGAAAGAGAAUCCAGCAUCUGUAACUCUGACAGAAACAUCAGAUCAUAGCACUUCUCAGAGAGGUGCAGAAUAUCAAGAAAGCUUGGGCCACAAUGAUCAGAUGUUCAAGCCAGGUUGGAAAGACAUAUUCCGGAUGAAUCAGAAUGAACUUGAGUCAGAGAUCCGGAAGGUUUAUCGUGACUCAACUCUUGAUCCUAGGAGAAAGGCAUAUCUUGUGCAGAAUCUAAUGACAAGUCGUUGGAUAGCUGCCCAGCAGAAAUCACCUAAAGCUCUAUCUGAAGGAUCAUCUAAUGGUGUAGAAACAGAAGGACUCUCACCAUCAUUUCGGGACCCAGGGAAACAUGUAUUUGGGUGUGAGCACUAUAAGAGAAAUUGCAAGCUCCAAGCUGCAUGUUGUGGCAAGUUAUUUACUUGCAGAUUUUGUCAUGACAAUGUGAGCGAUCACUCGAUGGAUAGAAAAGCGACAUCGGAAAUGAUGUGUAUGCGCUGCCUGAAUAUACAACCAGUAGGGCCUAUAUGCAUGACACCUUCAUGUAACGGGCUUUCAAUGGCAAAGUAUUAUUGCAAUAUAUGCAAAUUUUUUGAUGAUGAAAGGAAUGUAUAUCAUUGCCCAUUUUGCAAUUUAUGCCGUGUUGGACGAGGGCUUGGGAUUGAUUAUUUUCAUUGUAUGAAAUGCAAUUGUUGCCUGGGGAUGAAAUCAGUAUCUCACAAGUGCCUGGAGAAAGGUUUAGAAAUGAACUGUCCAAUUUGCUGUGAUGACUUAUUCACGUCAAGUGCUACAGUCAGAGCUCUACCUUGUGGCCAUUAUAUGCAUUCUGCAUGCUUUCAGGCAUACACUUGUAGUCACUACACAUGCCCAAUCUGCAGCAAGUCAUUGGGAGAUAUGGCGGUUUACUUUGGUAUGCUCGAUGCCUUAUUGGUUGCUGAGGAGCUUCCUGAAGAGUACAGGGACCGCUAUCAGGACAUACUCUGCCAUGACUGUGAUCGAAAGGGCACUUCACGCUUCCACUGGUUGUAUCACAAAUGUGGAUUUUGUGGCUCUUACAAUACCCGGGUGAUCAAAUGUGAGGCAUCAAAUUCCACCUGCUCUUAGUGUGCUAGAAUUUGUCAGGAGGUAGACAUAGUUUGUAAAUACUUGUAUAGCCAAUCCAAAUUUCCCCCCAACCAGGAGGCCUAUCAUUGUUUCGUCUUAUGCAUAAUGCAAAUCAACUUUCUUCGAACUUUUUCUUUAUGCAAUUGGAUACUUUUGCAGCCUCAGCUCGUUUCUUUCUUCUUAUCGUUAAGUUCAUAUCAGUGCGCUUACUGCGCUCUAUUCAUGCUAAGGAUUUCAUCUACAAAUUCCCUGGCUCGAGGUAGAUACCGACUGAUGUCAUUAUGGGUUCAUAUGGAAGCUCAGAUGAUAUCGUUACCGAAGUGUUGUACCUACUAUAUCAUUUUGAGUCCAAUUGUGUAGUAAUUCUAUCAAUUUAGAUAGUGGUAGACGAAUCAAUGGUUAAAUUGAAUUUCCAAUCUUCAAUCACAAGAAGUUGAA